CCUACGGGGGGCUGCAGUGGGGAAUAUUGGACAAUGGGGGCAACCCUGAUCCAGCCAUGCCGCGUGUGUGAAUAAGGCCCUCGGGUUGUAAAGCACUUUCAGUGAGGAAGAACGCCUGGUGGUUAAUACCCAUCAGGAAAGACAUCACUCACAGAAGAAGCACCGGCUAACUCCGUGCCAGCAGCCGCGGUAAUACGGAGGGUGCGAGCGUUAAUCGGAAUUACUGGGCGUAAAGCGCGCGUAGGUGGCUUGAUAAGCCGGUUGUGAAAGCCCCGGGCUCAACCUGGGAACGGCAUCCGGAACUGUCAAGCUAGAGUGCAGGAGAGGAAGGUAGAAUUCCCGGUGUAGCGGUGAAAUGCGUAGAGAUCGGGAGGAAUACCAGUGGCGAAGGCGGCCUUCUGGACUGACACUGACACUGAGGUGCGAAAGCGUGGGUAGCAAACAGGAUUAGAUACCCCAGUAGUC
rnacentral:rRNA from 1 species